UUGGAUAUCCGCGUCCAAGCAGUUAGGCUGGGAAAUAGGCAAAUCCGUUUCCCGUGAAGGCUGAGCUGUGAUGGCGAGCGAAAUUUAGUAGCGAAGUUCCUGAUUCCACACUGCCAAGAAAAGCCUCUAGCGAGGUGAGAGGUGCCCGUACCGCAAACCGACACAGGUAGGCGAGGAGAGAAUCCUAAGGUGAUCGAGAGAACUCUCGUUAAGGAACUCGGCAAAAUGACCCCGUAACUUCGGGAGAAGGGGUGCUUCUUAGGGUGUUAAAGCCCCGAGAAGCCGCAGUGAAUAGGCCCAGGCGACUGUUUAGCAAAAACACAGGUCUCUGCGAAGCCGUAAGGCGAAGUAUAGGGGCUGACGCCUGCCCGGUGCUGGAAGGUUAAGAGGAGCGCUUAGCGUAAGCGAAGGUGCGAAUUGAAGCCCCAGUAAACGGCGGCCGUAACUAUAACGGUCCUAAGGUAGCGAAAUUCCUUGUCGGGUAAGUUCCGACCCGCACGAAAGGCGCAACGAUCUGGGCACUGUCUCAACGAGAGACUCGGUGAAAUUAUAGUACCUGUGAAGAUGCAGGUUACCCGCGACAGGACGGAAAGACCCCGUGGAGCUUUACUGCAGCCUGAUAUUGAAUGUUGGUACAGCUUGUACAGGAUAGGUAGGAGCCUUGGAAACCGGAGCGCUAGCUUCGGUGGAGGCAUCGGUGGGAUACUACCCUGGCUGUAUUGACCUUCUAACCCGCUGCCCUUAUCGGGCAGGGAGACAGUGUCAGGUGGGCAGUUUGACUGGGGCGGUCGCCUCCUAAAAUGUAACGGAGGCGCCCAAAGGUUCCCUCAGAAUGGUUGGAAAUCAUUCGCAGAGUGUAAAG
rnacentral:rRNA from 1 species